AUUGAACGCUGGCGGCAUGCUUUACACAUGCAAGUCGGACGGCAGCACAGAGAAGCUUGCUUCUUGGGUGGCGAGUGGCGAACGGGUGAGUAACAUAUCGGAACGUACCGGGCAGUGGGGGAUAACUAAUCGAAAGAUUAGCUAAUACCGCAUAUCUUCUGAGGAAGAAAGCAGGGGACCAUUUGGCCUUGCGCUGUUUGAGCGGCCGAUAUCUGAUUAGCUAGUUGGUGGGGUAAAGGCCUACCAAGGCGACGAUCAGUAGCGGGUCUGAGAGGAUGAUCCGCCACACUGGGACUGAGACACGGCCCAGACUCCUACGGGAGGCAGCAGUGGGGAAUUUUGGACAAUGGGCGCAAGCCCUGAUCCAGCCCAUGCCGCCGUGUUCUGAAGAAAGGCCCUUGGGUUGUAA
rnacentral:rRNA from 1 species